GCGCAGCCCGGCCUGAGUGGAGCUCAUUUUUUUUGCUGGUACAACCUAUCUUGGAAAUGAAAAGUGUGUGCAAAAAAAUAGCGGGAACGGAGGACGGAUUAAGC
rnacentral:misc_RNA from 1 species